rnacentral:rRNA from 1 species
AUUGAACGCUGGCGGCAGGCCUAACACAUGCAAGUCGAGCGGAGCGGCCGACGGGUGAGUAAUGCCUAGGAAUCUGCCUUGUCUUGGGGGAUAAGGUCCGUAACCGGGCGCUGAUACCGCAUACUAUCAGAUGAGCCUAGGUCGGAUUAGCUAGGUGGUGGGGUAAAGGCCUACCAAGGCGACGAUCCGUAACUGGUCUGAGAGGAUGAUCAGUCACACUGGAACUGAGACACGGUCCAGACUCCUACGGGAGGCAGCAGUGGGGAAUAUUGGACAAUGGGCGAAAGCCUGAUCCAGCCAUGCCGCGUGUGUGAAGAAGGUCUUCGGAUUGUAAAGCACUUUAAGUUGGGAGGCGUUACCAACAGAAGAAGCACCGGCUAACUUCGUGCCAGCAGCCGCGGUAAUAC